rnacentral:rRNA from 1 species
CAGCCGCCGCGGUAAUACGGAGGGUGCAAGCGUUGAUCGGAAUUACUGGGCGUAAAGCGUGCGUAGGCGGUUCGUUAAGUCUGUUGUGAAAGCCCCGGGCUCAACCUGGGAAUGGCAAUGGAUACUGGCGAGCUAGAGUGUGUCAGAGGAUGGUGGAAUUCCCGGUGUAGCGGUGAAAUGCGUAGAGAUCGGGAGGAACAUCAGUGGCGAAGGCGGCCAUCUGGGACAACACUGACGCUGAGGCACGAAAGCGUGGGGAGCAAACAGGAUUAGAUACCCGUGUAGUCCCUGUCUCUUAUAC